GCUGGGUGUGGUGGCGCAUGCCUGUAAUUCCAGCUACUUGGGAGGCUGAGGCAGGAUAAUCGCUUGAACCCAGGAGGCAGAGGUUGUAGUGAGCCGAGAUUGAGCCAUUGCACUCCAGCCUGGUGACAGAGAACUAUUCUAUCUUAAAAAGAAAAAGAAAAGGAAAUAUAUCUUUUUUUUUUCUUUCUUUCUUUUUUUUUUUUUUUUUGAGACAGGGUUUCGCUCUGUCACCCAGGCUGGAGUGCAGUGGCGCAAUCUCGGCUCACUGCAACCUCCACCUCCCAGGUUCAAGCGAUCCUAUUGCCUCAG
rnacentral:SRP_RNA from 2 species